AUAAAAGGGAGCAGCUCAGCUCAGUUAGAACUGAUUGCUGGAGAGAAAGGAUGCAUACUGCUGCUGCUAGUUCCAGGGUCCUUGAAGAAAGUUUAGGGAAGAAAAAUGGGCUACUGGAGCAAGCUUCACCAUCAUGGCUGUCACCCCCACCAUCUCCUGGGACCCCAAGCCUGUGUCAUGCUCAUCCUGAUCGGACUGGAGAGUGACCCAGAUGACAUUGCUGCCUCUACUGACUUCAGCUGAAUCCCAACCACAACCCAUGAUGAAACAGGACUGGACUUCAAUAGCAGCAGCUCCAGGUCAUCUCAGCAACUUUUCCCCAGGAGGACAGUUUUUACCAUCUUAGAUAUCAUCUACCAGACUGUAAAACAAGGCUUUUUCCUUCUAAAAUCUCUCUCCAGCUAAAGGGAACAAGGGAUGUUUAAAAUGCAAGCUUUAUUUAAUACUUGACAUUUCAAAUGUUUUAACUGUUUCCCUUUUCUUUAUCUUUAUUAAAAAGUUAAAGAUUU